AGUAAGCAAUAUGACUGGAUACAUACUACAGCACCGUUUAUUACAAGCACACAAAGAAGGAACCUGGUAGCUACUCAGGAAGACAAUUGUACGGACCUCUGUGUCAGAAGUAGAAAAGGAGACAACAAGACAGAUUCACCGCAGAUUGUCAACAAUCCCCAUGAGGACUACAACCAAUUACUUGUGACAGAGCACAGGAAGAUGCUUCAAAUUAUAUGAAGGAACAUUUGGUAAAAGGAAAUCGGGGAGCCUUGUGUGCCAGGUUCUUUUGAAGACCCUGAACUGGACUUACACUCUGACUUCAGUUCUUUGAGGGAAUGGGACCCGCUCUCUGGGCCUCACGACUGGCCGCUUUUCAAUAUGCCAAGGACACGGCCUAGAAGACUAGCAUGCCUUCAGGGUGCCAGAUUUUCGUGGCUCUGGGAGUGGGUGGACUCGAGGUCAGUGCCACCGUGGAAAACUGAUGUGUCGUGGGAGCACACGGAAGAUCGAAAGUAGUGAGCUGGCUGCUGGCUGUGUGCCCGGAGACCCGAUAUCUUUGGGCACAGAGCUCGGAAGAAGCAACGCAACAGACUUCCAACACCAUAAAUUGGCAAGCUGUUUUGUUAUGUGUCCCCUCUCAUUGUGAAACAGGGAUAAUUCUUUCUGCCUUAUUAGGGAGAGAAAGAACCUGUGGUAUGUCGAAUACCAGGUGAACCAGUAGUCUUUGGGGUACUACAAGUCUGUGUCUUUGCUGAUGCUUUGCUGCAUGCUUGAGUACUC